rnacentral:pre_miRNA from 1 species
AAUAAGAUUAUUUUUCAGUUUUUUGAUACAAUAUUUUGAUUCUUUAUCUUAUUUAAAAAAUUUUACUUUUACUAGAUGAUAAAAUAUAUAUAGUACUUUAUGCGUGACUAAUUUUUUAAAGUUUUUUACAAAUUUUUCAAAUAAGACGAAUGAUCAAACGUUGGACAUAGAAAA